rnacentral:rRNA from 1 species
AUUGAACGCUGGCGGCAUGCCUUACACAUGCAAGUCGAACGGCAGCACGGACUUCGGUCUGGUGGCGAGUGGCGAACGGGUGAGUAAUAUAUCGGAACAUACCUUGUAGUGGGGGAUAACUAUCCGAAAGGAUAGCUAAUACCGCAUACGCUCUAAGGAGGAAAGUGGGGGAUCGCAAGACCUCAUGCUAUAAGAGUGGCCGAUAUCUGAUUAGCUAGUUGGUGAGGUAAAGGCUCACCAAGGCGACGAUCAGUAGCUGGUCUGAGAGGACGACCAGCCGAACUGGAAAUGAGACACGGUCCAGACUCCUACGGGAGGCAGCAGCGGGGAAUUUUGGACAAUGGGGGCAACCCUGAUCCAGCAAUGCCGCGUGAGUGAAGAAGGCCUUCGGGUUGUAAAGCUCUUUUGUCAGGGAAGAAACGGUUGUGGCUAAUAUCCAUGGCUAAUGACGGUACCUGAAGAAUAAGCACCGGCUAACUACGUGCCAGCAGCCGCCGUAA